GCCAAGGAGAGGGGGAAGAUUGAACUGAGCAACAAAAAGAACAUACAUAAAUGUCUGAAGACCUCAGUUUCCUCAUUUGUGGAAUGGAAAUGAUAGUCUGCCUAAGGAUAAAAAGAGGCGAUACAUUUGUCAGCGCUUCAUAAAUUGAAAAUUUCCAUCCAAAGGUUAUUUGAAUAGGCUGAGCCAUCAGUGAAAAGAGAGGUUUGGUGUCUCACAAAUAGGAUAUCUGAGAAUAUGAAGUCAAUGUGACACUCAGCUCACUCUAGGGGGAGCCAGCUGGCAUGUUAUGAAGACACUUGAGCAGCUGUACAUGCAGAGAAGUCCCCAUGAUGAGGGGUUCGGGCCUCCUGCCAACAGCCAUGGGAGUGAGCCAUCUUGGAAUCAGGUCCCUCAGCUGCUGCCUGAUGUCUUGACUACAGUCCUGGAGACCCUGAGCCAGACCCGUCCAGCUCAGCUGCUUCCAGAUUCCCAACCCUCAGACACUGGGGGAAGUUGCCAACUCUUGGGUAAAAUGAUGCUUCCAAGCUCCCCACUUUGUCAGGAGAAGAACCAUGGCUUGAACCCACAUGGCACUGAGUACAAGGCAUCAUGAAACUGGAUCCAAAUAGAAAGUUAACCAGAUGCUGCUCACCUGUCAGGUAAGA